rnacentral:lncRNA from 1 species
CUACUCAAAGGAGUUGUCUACCUCAAUCUUGCAGGAAUGAGGCAGCAGAUCUUGAACAUAUACUAAUAACUUUUCUCUAGACAACCUUCUCUGAGCAAAUUCUUGCUUUUCUAGGUCACAAAGAUUAUGUUUACAUUAUUUUUUCCAGUCCAUUGUGACAUCCUUGGUUGGACUCUUUUGUCAGCUAAACCUACUUUCCACCGCUGAAGCAGCAAGAAGGUUAUCGGUGAUAAGUGGGAGUAAUUAUGAGUACACAAAGGAGAACACCACUGUCAGAAAUAUGGAAAACUGAAUGGCAAUGGUGUGCUUUCUUCCACGCUCCUCACUUUUCUGUUAUGCACAGUGUGCAGUCCUCCCAGAGCUAAGGCUUCCACAGCCUGUGAUGUUCACGUUCCUCCAAUAGCAUUUUGAAGACAAAAGGUUUUCCAGCAGCCAUGUCUUUCUAUUGAUUUUGCUUUCUGUGAACACAAGUCAGGCUUUACAUAGACAGAAUACUUUUAAGUACACAGUCAUACCAGUUUUAACAUGGCCAGGAAUGGACUCAAAAUUACAGUGAAAUUAAUUCCUAGAAGGCAAAUAAUUAUUAUUUCUCAAAUUAUUGUAGAUGAACUGCACUAAAAAUUCUUGCUUUUCAAUUAACUUUAAAGAGUGAACAUUAAUUUUCCUAAAUUUGCAUUUUAGCUGAGAGAAUUAUUUCCCAUUUUUUACCUCUCCUAAAAAAACAAAAUACG